rnacentral:lncRNA from 1 species
CAAAGGGUGUUUAAAUGGUCUGCCCAAAGUCACACAGCUAAGAAGCAGUGAUGGGAUAUGAAGUCAAACAGUCUUAAAAGCAAGCUAUCCUGUUGCAAAAUAGAAAUUAGUUGAUAACGUCUUCCAGGAGACCUACGGCCAUCCUACUGAUAUGAACCAGAUCAUACCUGCCCUGAUGGGAUGCCAGAGAAAGACUGCUGCAAGGGAUCCUCUGGAAACAGAACAGAGGGAAGAAGAUACCUUCCCUGAAGCCCAGAUGUUCCAGAAGCCUGCGCCUCAUUCACAAAGUCACCCCAAAAAUGCCCUAGAGUUUGGAGUUUUGAAGAAGCGGGAAGAAGGCCUGAGUAAGGGCCUGGGAACCAAGUUAGAUCCUACUUCAGCAUCAGCACAUGCCAGCGAUGGUGCACACAGGUGGAGAGCGGCCUGCCCGUCUUUUCCAUGGUGCCCACAGACCCAUUUAGGAUGAAAGAUCAGAAAAUUCUCUCCAUGUCACCGCUUCUGAAACAUGUGAAUAUUAAUAUUUGGUGCCUAAAAGGCCAUGGCAAAUUUUCAUUGGUUUUAUCUUAUUCAUGAUUAUAGAGUUGAAAGAAUACA